rnacentral:rRNA from 1 species
GUGGGGAAUAUUGGACAAUGGGCGAAAGCCUGAUCCAGCCAUGCCGCGUGUGUGAAGAAGGUCUUCGGAUUGUAAAGCACUUUAAGUUGGGAGGAAGGGCAGUAAGUUAAUACCUUGCUGUUUUGACGUUACCAACAGAAUAAGCACCGGCUAACUUCGUGCCAGCAGCCGCGGUAAUACGAAGGGUGCAAGCGUUAAUCGGAAUUACUGGGCGUAAAGCGCGCGUAGGUGGUUUUGUAAGUUGGAGGUGAAAUCCCCGGGCUCAACCUGGGAACUGCCUACAAAACUGCAUGACUAGAGUACGGUAGAGGGUAGUGGAAUUUCCUGUGUAGCGGUGAAAUGCGUAGAUAUAGGAAGGAACACCAGUGGCGAAGGCGACUACCUGGACUGAUACUGACACUGAGGUGCGAAAGCGUGGGGAGCAAACAGGAUUAGAUACCCCAGUAGUCC